GCUGCUGUAGCUCAGUGGGAGAGCGUCCGGCUGAAGUAACUCAUUUCAGAUACCGGAACGUCGCAGGUUCAAAUCCUGCCAGCGGCA
rnacentral:tRNA from 1 species